rnacentral:lncRNA from 1 species
CUGUGGGGCUGCAUGAGAGGAGAAAGAGAAGAGUCUAAUGGGCUAUUCAGAGAAUUGAUCACUUGGAGAGAAGAGUUGUCAGAGGAGCUUUGCUUUGAAUUUUCUCAUGCUUUUCUGAAAGCAAGCUGCUAUUCUCAAGAAAUAUGGAAUGGUGUAAAAGAAUCUCAAUUGCCCAAUCAAGAUGAACAGAAUGGCUUUCUUCAACAAGAAAAUAGAACAUUCAUUUUUUAGGAUUAUAUCUACAACAUGAAGCAUUUAGCAGUAGCUGUCUUUGAGAACAUUCAUCUAUGACCUGAAAUGUCCUGAUCCUGAGAAAAAAAAGAGAUUCCAUUAAUUAAGUCUAUAAUUUUUAAAUGCAUAUUCAUGACUAAUUAUAUUUGCUUAUGUACAAUGCGGAUACAGAAUUCAUAAACCAGAGAUUAUUUUAACACAUGCACACAUUUUGUUUUACAUUUAGUGUACAAGAUACAAAAUUUUAAUCAAAUUUUAAAUAAUCUUUUAAAUUAUCUGUAUUUAUUAAUAAAUGAAGUC